rnacentral:rRNA from 1 species
GAUCAUGGCUCAGGACGAACGCUGGCGGCGUGCUUAACACAUGCAAGUCGAACGAGAGGAGAAGGAAGCUUGCUUCUUUCGAAUCUAGUGGCAAACGGGUGAGUAACACGUAAACAACCUGCCUUCAGGAUGGGGACAACAGACGGAAACGACUGCUAAUACCGAAUACGUUCCUUAGGUCGCAUGACUUUAGGAAGAAAGGGUGGCCUCUACUUGUAAGCUAUCGCCUGAAGGAGGGGUUUGCGU